CGUGUAGGCGGUGCGGUAAGUUGGGCGUGAAAUCCCCGAGCUUAACUCGGGUGGGCCGUUCAAGACUGCCGUGCUAGGGUGCGGGAGAGGGCAGUGGAAUUUCCGGUGUAGCGGUGAAAUGCGUAGAUAUCGGGAGGAACACCUGCGGCGAAGGCGGCUGCCUGGACCGUAACCGACGCUGAGGCGCGAAAGCUAGGGGAGCAAACAGGAUUAGAUACCCUGGUAGUCCUAGCCCUAAACGAUGAGCACUGGGUGUGGCCCCUCACGGGGCCGUGCCGAAGCUAACGCAUUAAGUGCUCCGCCUGGGGAGUACGGUCGCAAGGCUGAA
rnacentral:rRNA from 1 species